GAGGCCUAAGGUAAGGCACGCAGGUAUCGGCGCACCCAGAAACCCUUUGUGAACUUAUACCUUACUGUUGCCUCGGCGCAGGCCGGCCUCUUAGCUGAGGCCCCCCGGAGACGGGGAGCAGCCCGCCGGCGGCCAACCAAACUCUUGUUUCUACAGUGAAUCUCUGAGUAAAAAACAUAAAUGAAUCAAAACUUUCAACAACGGAUCUCUUGGUUCUGGCAUCGAUGAAGAACGCAGCGAAAUGCGAUAAGUAAUGUGAAUUGCAGAAUUCAGUGAAUCAUCGAAUCUUUGAACGCACAUUGCGCCCUCUGGUAUUCCGGAGGGCAUGCCUGUUCGAGCGUCAUUUCAACCCUCAAGCCUGGCUUGGUGUUGGGGCACUGCUUCGAGAGAAGCAGGCCCUGAAAUCUAGUGGCGAGCUCGCUAGGACCCCGAGCGUAGUAGUUAUAUCUCGUUCUGGAAGGCCCUGGCGGUGCCCUGCCGUUAAACCCCCAACUUCUGAAAUUUUGACCUCGGAUCAGGUAGGAAUACCCGCUGAACUUAAGCAUAUCAAUAAGCGGAGGAA
rnacentral:rRNA from 1 species